GCUUCGUGGUGUAGUGGUCAGCACACUCGACGCGUAUUCGAGAGGUCCGUGGUUCGAGUCCCGGCAAGGGCG
rnacentral:tRNA from 1 species